rnacentral:rRNA from 1 species
CUAAUACAUGCAAGUCGAGCGGACCGACGGGAGCUUGCUCCCUUAGGUCAGCGGCGGACGGGUGAGUAACACGUGGGUAACCUGCCUGUAAGACUGGGAUAACUCCGGGAAACCGGGGCUAAUACCGGAUGCUUGAUUGAACCGCAUGGUUCAAUCAUAAAAGGUGGCUUUCAGCUACCACUUACAGAUGGACCCGCGGCGCAUUAGCUAGUUGGUGAGGUAACGGCUCACCAAGGCGACGAUGCGUAGCCGACCUGAGAGGGUGAUCGGCCACACUGGGACUGAGACACGGCCCAGACUCCUACGGGAGGCAGCAGUAGGGAAUCUUCCGCAAUGGACGAAAGUCUGACGGAGCAACGCCGCGUGAGUGAUGAAGGUUUUCGGAUCGUAAAACUCUGUUGUUAGGGAAGAACAAGUACCGUUCGAAUAGGGCGGCACCUUGACGGUACCUAACCAGAAAGCCACGGCUAACUACGUGCCAGCAGCCGCGGUAAUACGUAGGUGGCAAGCGUUGUCCGGAAUUAUUGGGCGUAAAGCGCGCGCAGGCGGUUUCUUAAGUCUGAUGUGAAAGCCCCCGGCUCAACCGGGGAGGGUCAUUGGAAACUGGGGAACUUGAGUGCAGAAGAGGAGAGUGGAUUCCACGUGUAGCGGUGAAUGCGUAGAGAUGUGGAGGAACACCAGUGGCG